rnacentral:rRNA from 1 species
GUGGGGAAUAUUGCACAAUGGGGGAAACCCUGAUGCAGCGACGCCGCGUGAGCGAAGAAGUAUUUCGGUAUGUAAAGCUCUAUCAGCAGGGAAGAAGAAUGACGGUACCUGACUAAGAAGCACCGGCUAAAUACGUGCCAGCAGCCGCGGUAAUACGUAUGGUGCAAGCGUUAUCCGGAUUUACUGGGUGUAAAGGGAGCGCAGGCGGUACGGCAAGUCUGAUGUGAAAUCCCGGGGCUCAACCCCGGUACUGCAUUGGAAACUGUCGGACUAGAGUGUCGGAGGGGUAAGUGGAAUUCCUAGUGUAGCGGUGAAAUGCGUAGAUAUUAGGAGGAACACCAGUGGCGAAGGCGGCUUACUGGACGAUUACUGACGCUGAGGCUCGAAAGCGUGGGGAGCAAACAGGAUUAGAAACCCGAGUAGUCC